rnacentral:rRNA from 1 species
GGUGAGUAAUACUUAGGAAUCUGCCUAUUAAUGGGGGACAACAUCUCGAAAGGGAUGCUAAUACCGCAUACGCCCUACGGGGGAAAGCAGGGGAUCACUUGUGACCUUGCGUUAAUAGAUGAGCCUAAGUCGGAUUAGCUAGUUGGUGGGGUAAAGGCCUACCGAGGCGACGAUCUGUAGCGGGUCUGAGAGGAUGAUCCGCCACACUGGGACUGAGACACGGCCCAGACUCCUACGGGAGGCAGCAGCGGGGAAUAUUGGACAAUGGGGGGAACCCUGAUCCAGCCAUGCCGCGUGUGUGAAGAAGGCCUUAUGGUUGUAAAGCACUUUAAGCGAGGAGGAGGCUCUCUUGGUUAAUACCCAAGAUGAGUGGACGUUACUCGCAGAAUAAGCACCGGCUAACUCUGUGCCAGCAGCCGCGGUAAUACAGAGGGUGCGAGCGUUAAUCGGAUUUACUGGGCGUAAAGCGUGCGUAGGCGGCUUUUUAAGUCGGAUGUGAAAUCCCCGAGCUUAACUUGGGAAUUGCAUUCGAUACUGGGAAGCUAGAGUAUGGGAGAGGAUGGUAGAAUUCCAGGUGUAGCGGUGAAAUGCGUAGAGAUCUGGAGGAAUACCGAUGGCGAAGGCAGCCAUCUGGCCUAAUACUGACGCUGAGGUACGAAAGCAUGGGGAGCAAACAGGAUUAGAUACCCUGGUAGUCCAUGCCGUAAACGAUGUCUACUAGCCGUUGGGGCCUUUGAGGCUUUAGUGGCGCAGCUAACGCGAUAAGUAGACCGCCUGGGGAGUACGGUCGCAAGACUAAAACUCAAAUGAAUUGACGGGGGCCCGCACAAGCGGUGG